UCAUAUUGGAUCCAGGGAUCAGCAUAAAUAGCUCAUAUGAGACAUACCAGAGAGGGAUGCAAGCGGACGUUUUCAUCAAACACAAUGGUGUCCCUUAUCGUUGCGAAGGUUUCCCUGGAAAAGUAUACUUUCCUGAUUUCAUAAAUCCCCGAGGCAGAGUCUUCUGGAGUAACGAAAUCAAGAUUUUCCAUGACCUUCUCCCUGUUGAUGGGCUCUGGCUUGACUUGAACGAGAUAACUAACUUCAUCUCUUCGCCUCCAACCCCAUUUUCUGCCCUUGACAACCCUCCUUAUAAGAUCAAUAACAAUGGAAGCUUACGUUCAAUUAACCAGAUUACUGUCCCAGCAACAUCAGUACAUUUUGGAAAUGCCUUAGAGUACAAUGUUCAUAACCUCUACGGAUUUCUGGAAGCUAAAACGACCAAUACUGCUUUAAUCGCUAUUACUGGUAAAAGGCCAUUUAUACUUAGCAAAUCUACCUUUGUGGGUUCUGGGCAAGUACACAGCACAUUGGACGGGAGAUAAUGCAGCCACUUGGGAUGACUUGGCUUAUAGUAUUCCCAGCAUUUUGAGGUCUGGAUUGUUUGGGAUUCCCAUGGUUGGAGCUGAUAUAUGUGGCUUUUUUGAAAAUACUACUCAAGAAUUAUGUCGCCGUUGGAUUCAGCUAGGUGAAUUUUAUCCCUUUGCAAGGGAUCACACUAUGAAGUUCAGUAUCCAUCAAGAACUUUAUAUCUGGGAUUCAGUAGCUGCAACUGCCAAGAAAGUGCUACCGGUUCUUACCAUACUUCUGCACAUUAAUGUUCGAGGCACAUACCAAAGGCAUCCCUAUAGCGCGGCCUCUUUUCUUCUCAUUCCCCGAGGACACAAACACUUACUCCAUCAACUCUCAGUUUCUCGUCGGUAAGGGGCUAAUGAUAUCACCAGUACUGACAGCUGGUGCGGUUUCAGUUGAUGCAUAUUUUCCAUCCGGUACCUGGUUCAACAUGUUCAACUAUUCAAAAUAUGUGAACAUGAAGUCCGGUAACUACAUCAGCCUAGACGCGCCUCCUGAUCAUAUCAAUGUGCACCUCCAAGAGGGAAACAUUGUGGCAAUGCAAGGAGAAGCAAUGACGACAAGAGCAGCAAGGGCAACUCCAUUUGAACUACUUGUUGCCAUCAACAACUGGGGAAAUAGUUCAGAAGUUUUCUUGGACGAUGCCGAGGACGUUGAAAUAGUAAUCGCAAUACUAGUACUCAUUCUCGCGCAAUGCGCGGAUUAUUUUUUAAAACAAAAAAGCAAAGAUAGAUAGUAGAAACAUAUUUAUUUUAAUUAUUUGUGACAUAGUUGAGAUAUUAUUUUCAAUUUUUUGGAUCGUUCUUAUUGCAUACUAACAUUUAAUAUUGUAUAUAUGUUGGUAUUGUUU